rnacentral:rRNA from 1 species
CCUACGGGAGGCAGCAGUGGGGAAUAUUGCGCAAUGGGCGAAAGCCUGACGCAGCGACGCCGCGUGAGGGAUGAAGGUCUUCGGAUCGUAAACCUCUGUCAGCAGGGAAGAACGGUCACUGUGCUAAUCAGCAGUGAAUUGACGGUACCUGCAAAGGAAGCACCGGCUAACUCCGUGCCAGCAGCUGCGGUAAUACGGAGGGUGCGAGCGUUAAUCGGAAUUACUGGGCGUAAAGCGCUCGUAGGCGGUAUGUCAAGUCAAGGGUGAAAGCCCCGGGCUCAACGUGGGAACUGCCUUUGAAACUGGCAAACUGGAGUGUGUGAGAGGAUAGUGGAAUUCCAGGUGUAGGAGUGAAAUCCGUAGAUAUCUGGAGGAACACCAGUGGCGAAGGCGACUAUCUGGCACAUAACUGACGCUGAGGAGCGAAAGCGUGGGUAGCAAACAGGAUUAGAUACCCGAGUAGUC